GAAGUAGAUAUUUAUCAAAGCAAAUCUGAUAAGCUUUGCAUAUUCAUUUCGAUGUAAGUAAUAAUCUCGAGAGCAUAAAAAACAAUUAUUUUGUCAUGUUUGAACUCAAAUCAACAUGUGCCUUAAAGCUUUUAAUUAUUUUGCACACUAUUUUGCAUACCGAUGCACUAGAUCUGAAGCAGAGAAUGAUCAACCACAAAAUUAUACCAGAUCUCAUUUCAGAAGCACCUUUAAAUAAGUUGCAAAUUUUAUAUCCAAUCAACAAAACUGUCCAAGAAGUCAGAACGGGCCAAAGCCUUUUACACACCGAAACUGAACAUGAACCUCAAUUAGUAUGGCCAAUUCGAGAAAAUACAUGGUAUACUUUAUUCAUGAGUGUUCGAGCGCCAAUUUACUUAGUCGAACGUGAAAGAGAAUUUAAGCCUUCGUUGGGAAAUCAAACUCACGUUCAAUGGGAAAAUUGGAUCGUUGUUAAUAUACCUGGAAUCAAAAUUUUAAACGGAUCUGAGCUUCUACCUUAUCGACCUUUGAUAACACCUGUUCCAAAAACUCAAGAUCUUGUAAUGUUUUUCGUUUGGGAGCAGUCAGAAUACCAUGAAUCGAUUAGGUAUGACAAAAAUAUGGGAUCGAGAAGUGAAUAUGGAAAUACGCAACUGAUCCGCACAUUCAUGAAUCAGUUUCAAUUGGGAACUCCAUGGGCUGGCGAUUUCUUCUAUUUAAGAUGUGCUAUUUGAAAAAAUGUUCAUCUACAGAUAUCAUAUAUUAUUUGUAAAGUUAUUAGAUAUUAACCGUAUUCAUAAAUUUUCAAAUAAAAUUCAAGUAAAUUACAAAUUUUUCAAACACCCAAUUUCCCAUGACAUUUUUGACAAAAAUUCAUAAGAAUGUACCUUUUGAGAGAAACCUAAUUCAUUUCAGUGAUAUAGGAUUCGGGUUACCUAAUUUACCGAUUAAAGAUGAAAUUAAUCAUUUCUAUCAUUCAUACACAUAUCAAUAAAUUUCAUCUAUUAUCAAGGACAUCAUCUUUAUUUUUCAACCAGAAUGAUAACGACAGCGAUGGCACAUGAUGCAUUUAGUCAAAACAUUUCAUAAUGUUUGGAAUCACUUCAAAUUGCAUAAUUUUUUUCUGCGCUUCACAUUAUUGUCUUUGUAACUAUACCGAAAAACUGGAAGAAUUGAAGAUCAUCCCCGAUAUUAUUCCAGUUCCUCCGAGUCAGUUGUGCCGAUUUGCUUAUUAUAUUGGUAAAUCAUGGAAAGAAAUCAAAAGCGGCGAAUCACUUCUUUAUACCGAUCUGAAAUAUCGACCAAAAUUGAAAUGGCCUGCUUCAGAAGAUACUUUUUACACUCUGUACAUGACUGGCAUAUCGUUCGUAGAUCGUAAAAGAUUUCAACAGGAGUUCGAGGAAUUGGCAAAUAUAGAGAUUACCGAACCUAUACUCACUCGCCAUAAAGAAUGUUGGACUGUGAUCAACAUACCUGGAAAUAAUAUCAAAUUGGGAGAAGAACUAUUCGCUUACAAACCAGUAUUGAUUGAUAUGUUUAAUGUUACCGAGUACCUGAUCUUCCUUGUAUACAACCAAACUCGAAAAUAUCACAGAAUGGAGCCAAAAGAACGAUAUCCGAGGAGUCCCAGUGUAAAAGAACUGACGCAGAAAUAUCGUUUGGGUAAUGCCUGGGCUGGAAAUUUUUUCAUCGUGAAUACUUGAAAAUGAAUUUUUAGAGGCAGAUUGGAUUAAUUGGACGAAUACACCGACGAAUAUUUGGAAUAUUAGACAUUUUGAAGGAUUGGAGAGGAGUUCAUCUCAUUCACGAGACAUUUUUUUCUCGAAUUUUCAAGACUAUGCCAAACUGACUUUGAAUAUUUAUUUGUUAAUUAUUGAUAAGUGUUACCAAAAUUUUGAAGCAAAUGAAAGGAUUUUCUUUAUGUAGUUUUCAACGUUUCAUGUCAAAUUCAAUACAUAAUUUGUUAAGAGGA